GUGCUAACUGUCACAAAACAUAUACGAACAUUGAGACAAUACAGAGAAGAUUAGCAUAGCCUCUGCUCAAGGAUGACAAAUUAAUGAAGCACUUUAUAUAUAUUUUU
rnacentral:snRNA from 1 species